rnacentral:rRNA from 1 species
GAGGAAGUAAAAGUCGUAACAAGGUUUCCGUAGGUGAACCUGCGGAAGGAUCAUUACUGAAUUGUCAACAUGAAGUUGUUGCUGGCCCUCAGAUGGGGGUAUGUGCACGCUCUGUUUACACAUCCACUCACACCUGUGCACCCUCUGUAGUUCUAUGGUCUGGGGGCUCUGUCCUCCUGCUGUGGUUCUGCGUAUUUAUACAUACACACUGUAAUAAAGUCUCAUGGAAUGUAUGCCGCGUUUAACGCAAUGUAAUACAACUUUCAGCAACGGAUCUCUUGGCUCUCGCAUCGAUGAAGAACGCAGCGAAAUGCGAUAAGUAAUGUGAAUUGCAGAAUUCAGUGAAUCAUCGAAUCUUUGAACGCACCUUGCGCCCUUUGGCUAUUCCGAAGGGCAUGCCUGUUUGAGUAUCAUGAACACCUCAACUCCUCAUGGCUUGCCAUGAUGAGCUUGGACUUGGGGGUCUUGCUGGCCUGUGGUCAGCUCCUCUCAAAUGAAUCAGCUUGCCAGUGAUUGGUGGCACCACAGGUGUGAUAAACAUCUACGCUUGUGGUUCCCCACCAUGUAACCUUUAGCGAUAGAGGUUCGCUGGAGCUCACAAAUGUCUUUCCUCAGUGAAGACAGCUCUUUGAUUGUUUGAUCUCAAAUCAGGUAGGACUACCCGCUGAACUUAAGCAUAUCA